AACAACAGCAUAACACUUUCCUAACCGAUUCCCACAGGUGCAUGCAUUGAGCUGAGGGCUGGGAGAGCACUUUGUUGGGAGCCCCAGUUAAGGGAUUCGUGGUACUCAUGAGGAGCAGAGAUGCAUGAGUCUCCUCGCUGACUUUUCAGGUCCUCUCGCCGUUGUCUGACUCCAUCCUGGCUGAGAAGACGGUGAUUGUCCUGGAUGACCGAGUCGCCAUCGUGGAGCUGGGAGUGCAGCUCGUAGCUGGCAUGUCUCUCUCCCUGCAGCCACACCGAGCAGACAAAAGGGCCAUCGUCUCCACAGCCGCUGCCCUGGAUGUUCUUCUGUCCCCACAGCAGGGGGAAGAAUUGAUAUAUCUGAACUGGAAAAUAAUUUUCAUAUGCUCAGUUUGCUAAUAUAGUUUGGAGAUUUUUUUAAGGCCACUUACCAAAAAAAAGCUCUGGGAGGAAUCUGCCACUCAGAGUUAGAAAUUAAUAUCAUACUUGUAUGAGAAACAAAAGUGAAGAUACGAGAUGGAGACGUUUUGGCCUCAGAACAGUAACUCCACUGAUUGAGUUAAAUGUGUUUAACUCAGGCAGAAAGACGUGCUACCUGUGUGACACCAUCAUAGCUCCCAGCAGCCAACAGGAACACGUGCAGCCACUAAGCUGGAGGGAGAACGCCUGGUAAACCAGAUGUCCCUAGCUCUCGAGUCUGUGUGUUUUAAAUGUCUUGGAAUUAUUUGUGGAUAUUGACAGAUUGAAAUUCAUAGAUCUCCAGCUCACAGAUAGCGUGGGAUAUUUCCAAAUUCCCCAAGUUAAUUUGUAGCUGAAAAUGGAAUUUCAGUCUCUUACACUGUAUGGUUGGAAAACUAUUUAGUGAAUCCAUAUGUGUUCCUGGGGGGCAUUUUGAGGACAUUUGCUGAGAUUGACAAAUAUUUCCAGUAUUGUGUCUCUCCAUACCCACAAUAGCAUUAAGUGGAGGCGUCUGGGAUUGAGCCAUCACACAUCUAUCUAACCACAUUCGCUCAAAUGUGAUGGGCCAAGGCCUUCAGACAUGACCAGGUAACUAUAGGUUGAAUUUAAAUCAGUACUUUGCCUAAGAGAGAUGAAGAGAAAAAUGCACACAGGUAAUUGACUCAACUAACAUACUAUGAAUCUAGGAGGAACAAACAAUAGAAAUUGGGACUUUUAAUGUUUUAUUUUAAAGCAGAAAACAGGUCAUGUGGGCUACACUCAAAACACAGAGAGGGCCCCUCCUUCCCGUCGUCAGGGCAGCCACACCCUCUCCCCUCCAGGCACCAGGCUCUUCCUGUGUUCUCUAAUGUCUGGUAGGGCAGGACUCUUGAACCCCAUCUACACAGCAGCAGGGGCUUGGGAUUCAUUGUUCGUUUUUUGCUUCUAAGAAAAGAGCACAUUCAGGGUAUAUGGAAAAGUAAAAUAGAUAAUAUUUUUUCUGAGUAGCAUAAUACGUGC
rnacentral:lncRNA from 1 species